GUGCUUGCUUCGGCAGCAUGUAUGCUAAAAUUGGAAUGAUACAGAGAAAAUUAGCUUGCCCCCUGCACAAGGAUGACAUGCAAAUUCAUGAAGCAUUCCAUAUUUUU
ensembl:snRNA U6 U6 spliceosomal RNA